rnacentral:lncRNA from 1 species
AAUCGGGAUUGGCAGCGUUACCGUAAUUAAAGUCCGUUGGUUACAAACAGAAGCGAAGCGGCGUAACGGACGGCCACAAGAGUAAUGACGUCGUGUCUAGAAACGUAGUAACUACAGUACUAAUGUUGUUCAAGCUUUAACCCCCAACGAAAACCGUUUGUCACAACUUGUAAAAUAAAUCGGCCUUCGGCCGAAUGAUUGUAAACAAGUAACCCAGGACUUUGCCCUUACUAGUUGUCGUAGUCUUACGGGCAGUCUGGUUUGGCGAAGCCCUAGCGCUUCCCCUUUAGGGGAACAAACUUCGUCGUCCCCCUCUGGGUUCCCCCCUUGUCAUUCCCUUUAGUUCCCCUAAAGGGGAUGACAACCCUUUGGUUUUUCAUCCCCUUUAGGGUAACCGAAGGGGGAACAAGAAGGGGAACCCAAAUGGUAACCUUGUCAUCCCCAAAGGUUUCCAUCCCCUAAAGGGGGAACAAAGGGACAACCUUUGGUCUCCCUUUGGGCUCCCCUAAAGGGUUUGGCAUCUUCUUUAGUUCCCCUAAAAGGGAUGAACAACUUGUUCUUUAUUUUGGGUUGUCAUUAUUUUCAACAUUAAAAUAAAGAUAAUGAUGAACAAGUAGGGACUUUGGCAUCCCCUUUAGUUCAUCGUCCCCUAAAGGGUUGUCUUCUUUAGUUCCCCUUUAGGGGAUGAACUAAAGAAGACAACCCUUUAGGGGAUGAAGAAGAAGAACGAAGGGGACAAAAAGNGGGGAAACCAAAGGGGGGGGGAGCCCGAAGGUAACCCAAAGGGGGUUCCCUUUGGCAUCCCCUAAAGUUCUUCCCCUAAAGGGGAAGUACUUUAGU